AGAGGAGGCAGGUAGCCUAGUGGUUAGAGUGUAGAGGUGGCAGGUAGCCUAGUGGUUAGAGUGUAGGGACGGCAGGUAGGCUAGUGGUUAGAGUGUAGGGACGGCAGGUAGCCUAGUGGUUAGAGUGUAGGGACGGCAGGUAGCCUAGUGGUUAGAGUGUAGGGGUGGCAGGUAGCCUAGUGGUUAGAGUGUAGGGGGGGCAGGUAGGCUAGUGGUUAGAGUGUAGGGGGUCAGGUAGCCUAGUGGUUAGAGUGUAGGGGGGGCAGGUAGUCUAGUGGUUAGAGUGUAGGGGGGGUAGGUAGUCUAGUGGUUAGAGUGUAGGGGGGGCAGGUAGUCUAGUGGUUAGAGUGUAGGGGUUAGGUAGUCUAGUGGUUAGAGUGUAGGGGGGCAGCUAGUCUAGUGGUUAGAGUGUAGGGGCGGCAGGUAGCCUAGUGGUUAGAGUGUAGGUAGCCUUGUGGUUAGAGUGUAGGGGGUUAGGUAGCCUAGUGGUUAGAGUGUAGGGGGGGCAAGUAGCCUAGUGGUUAGAGUGUAGGGGGGUUAGGUAGCCUAGUGGUUAGAGUGUAAGGGCGGCAGGUAGUCUAGUGGUUAGAGUGGGGGGGGCAGGUAGUCUAGUGGGUAGAGUGUAGGGGGGGUUAGGUAGUCUAGUGGUUAGAGUGUAGGGGGGGCAGGUAGCCUAGUGGUUAGAGUGUAGGGGGGUUAGGUAGCCUAGUGGUUAGAGUGUAGGGGUGGCAGGUAGCCUAGUGGUUAGAGUUUAGGACUAGUAUCCAUAAAGG
ensembl:lncRNA